UAAGAACGUCAUUUAAAUAGAUCUCAUGAGGUGAAUAGGAUUGGACAUAUGUUGACGGAUUUAUUGAAAAAUUUGUUCUCUGGCCCAGUGUGAGAAUCCUGAAGCUGUUUUGGAUGUCAUUCCCAAGCUGGAAACCACAGGCAAUGCUUGGAAGUCCCGUAGUUAUGGAAGCACGCCUGACACAAAUUGUAAACUCUGUGUAUUUGGUGACAGUGGCACGGGAGAAAAAGAAGAGGAAAAGAAACUAGACACGGCAAAGACAAAGAGAACUGCUCUGUAUCCAGCUGCGAGACAACACUGCCAUUUCAGAAGGCAGCCAGUUGUCAUGCACAAGGAACAUGAGGAGAAGGACCAUGAGAAGGAUGACAGAGCCGAGGCAGCUCCAAGGAGGAAAUUGAUGAUCAUACAAACAUUUUGACAACUGAUGGUGCUGAAAGGACAGCUGAAGAGCGGAUCAAUACCUUGCUUUAUUUUUUUAUAAGAAAAAAGGAAGAGGGUUUUUAGAUUCUUUUGACAAGGAAAUUGUUGCAGGAGCAGAAAAACUGGGUAUAAAAGCCAUGACGGGUUCUCUUGUUUUGACAAGAGUUUGUUUUUUUGUUUUUUAAAUGAUAAGAUUAGAGAGGAAAUUAAGAAAUACCAAUGCUAUUUUCUACAGUUUGACACAGUAAUGACAAAAGGCUCAGGAGUUCCUUCAGGUUUGGAAGUAUAUAGUAGCAAUUCUUCAAGGUCAGACUGUCUUUAACAUUCUAAGUAUUUUGAAGGAGAAACAGGUCACAGGGCUUUUGGAAGAAGAGGUUAUCAUCAGCUCUUUGGGAAAGGUAUCUAAGAAGUUAGGGCUCAAGAGAACUACUAAACAAAUUGCUGUCAAAGUGAACCACUUAUAAAAUGGCUGGAAGAAGAAGAGGAGGAAUAACCUGGAGGUGAAGACGUAGGUGAAGACAGGGAUGCUGCAGGACCAAGCAGCUAUGUUGGGGAGCUCCAUGUGGCAAGGAACUGCAAGCAGCCUUUAGGAACAGCCUGCUUAUAGCCGACAGGCCAGCUAACUCUGGCCAACAGCCUACAAAGACCUCCAGCCAACACCCAGCAGGAAAAUGGGGCUCUUUGUCCCAUAACUGCAAAGAAUUGGAUUUUGUCACCAACAGUGGAGACUUGAAAGUGGAUCCUUCUUCAGCCAAGCCUCGGAUGAGACCAAACCCUGCCAACACCUUGACUGCAGCCUUGUGAGACCAUGAAGCAAAGAACCCCAUUAAGCCAUAUCCAGAGUCCUGACCCAUUGAAACUGUGAGAUAAUAAAGGUAAGUUAUUUUAAACCUCUAAGGUUGUGGCAAUUUGCUAUGCAGCAAUAGGUAAAUACGCUGGCCAUCAGAGUCGAAAGCCCCAGCCUUAGGCUUUCGGUUCCUCAGAGCGUGUUAGACUAAAGUCUACCAUCUUCCCCAAACUGUGAAGAUCUACAUUAAGCUCCCCACAUGGUCCCAUUCUAGCCUCUGUCUCUGAGCUUAGAGACGAGGGGAAAGAUCUUCCUUCCUUCUCCGACAGAGGGAGGAAGGAGAAAACCCCACAGAACGUCAACAGUUUUCUUCCAAUGGAAUUCUCCAAUAAAGCUCUCAAGGAAUAUUCUGUUUCUAGCAAAAUUCUCUGGGUUCCAACUUAGUCUUUAAACUUCUUUUAUAGGCUAGUUGAGAGAACCGUUUUUGGCUAACUCUCUUGUAAUUUCUGCUUGGGUGAAUGGCAUUUCAUUUUGUAAACUGAAAGCAAUUGUCAACUCCAUGGCAAAUCAAGAACAGGGGCAGUCCCUCCAGGUGCAGGCAAUAGGGGAAGCAUUGUCUGUAGAAACUUUUAAAACAAUAGCAGAACUGCCAUCUGCCUUUUAUCAUCCACGUGUAAGCAAUUCUAAAUAUACUGAUAAUAAAAUACUCCUUCCCCGAAAAAAAAAUCUUCUGUUGGUCUAGAUUCUAAUCUAAAAAUGACCUGUUCCUUGCCUGUUCCUGUUCCCUCCCACCGCCCUACCCUUGCAAUGACACUGUGUUAUCUAUUGUCUCUUGGCCUCAGAUGGAACUGAGCAGUCUCCUGCCCACGUAAGUCCUGUUAUGUCCAGAUGGACACUUUAACUUCAGAUUUUACAAUGCCUUCUGAGGCUUAAUUAGAAAAAGCUGCCCUUCCUGAGGAUCCUUUGCUGUCAUCUGCUGGACGAUUGUAAAAAGUGCAGAAAUUCAUGAUGGUUGCAAAAGUGAAUGUCGUCUCUUAGAUCUGUGCUGUGUUCCCCCUGCAUGCUCAUAUGUGGUGGUAUUGUGUAUGCGUUGAAAGUGCACCCGUCAGAAGGAAGGUGGAACAUUUAGCAUUAUCUAAGGUAUGAAGAAUUAAGAUGUAAAAUUUCCACCUUCUAGUGCUUUUCUUUCUGUUUGGUCUAGCAGGACUGGUACCAGAAAGUCACUUGGGUGGACCUGUGUGUGAUUGUGUGGUGGUGUGGGGGAAGGGGGAGAAUGGGUUCUCUGGAGAAAAUAAAGGAAACAGGCUCUGGAAGGGUAUACUAGCUUUAUUGUCCAGCAAAGCAAGGCAGGGAGAAAUAGAAGAUGAGGAAAAGGAAAUGCAUGCGUACUAAUGAAAUGGCACUGUGCCAAGUCACUGUUCUAAGUGUUUGACAUAUUUCUUCUCAUCCUAUUAGCAUCUGGUGCUAUUAUAUGUGUAACUCUCCCUAUUUUGCAGACAAACAGAGGAAGACACUGAGAAGUGAAGGGACUUGCUCGAGACCAAAUAUUUUGUGUUUGAGGAAGUAAAUGUUCUGGAAGCAGGAGCACUCCCGCCCUCAAUGAUUCAUCUUAUCUGCAUGACAUCUCGUUGUGAAAAGAGUACUCAAUAUUGUUUGAGGGGCUGCAUUGAAACACAGAGAGAAGAGAAGAAGAAAGAAGAUUAAGC